rnacentral:rRNA from 1 species
GAUGAACGCUGGCGGCGUGCUUAACACAUGCAAGUCGAGCGAAGCACUUUACUUGGAUUUCUUCGGAAUGACGAGUUUUGUGACUGAGCGGCGGACGGGUGAGUAACGCGUGGGUAACCUGCCUCAUACAGGGGGAUAACAGUUAGAAAUGACUGCUAAUACCGCAUAAGACCACAGCACCGCAUGGUGCAGGGGUAAAAACUCCGGUGGUAUGAGAUGGACCCGCGUCUGAUUAGCUAGUUGGUGGGGUAACGGCCUACCAAGGCAACGAUCAGUAGCCGGCCUGAGAGGGCGACCGGCCAAAUUGGGACUGAGACACGGCCCAAACUCCUACGGGAGGCAGCAGUGGGGAAUAUUGCACAAUGGGGGAAACCCUGAUGCAGCGCCGCCGCGUGAAGGAAGAAGUAUUUCGGUAUGUAAACUUCUAUCAGCAGGGAAGAAAAUGACGGUACCUGACUAAGAAGCCCCGGCUAACUACGUGCCAGCCGCCGCCGUAA